AUUUCAUGAAGUUACUGCUAUUGCUGCCUCAAUGUAGUGUAGUCACCCUUCAAUUUGUGGUAUCGGGGUCUAGCAGUUUCUUUCCCGGUCUAAAAAGUAGUAUUUUUUGAGAGAGAACAUAAAAGGUAUAGUAAAUUUAAUAAAAUUAUUUCAAGCAUAGGUAUUCAGUAAAUAUAAAGGAGAAGGCAUCCAACAUAAAAAGACCUUUUAAUUCAGAAAGCAAAAGCCAAAUUACAAUAAUACAAAUAAUAAGCAAAUUAAUAGACAGAAGGCAUUCCCUUUCCAAGUUGAGAAUAUGGUUUAGUUCAUAUGCCUCAGUAGCAUACAUGAGUCUUUGAGGACCUGGGAGGGGAGCAGCUAAAUUGCUGGCAAGGUGAAAACUAGAAAUCAGUAAUUGUCCCUGAUUUCCAGCAGCUGACUGAAAGGUCUUUUAGGAAGCCACAGAGAUAUCUGGCUGCCUGGAGGGGGGCAGGAAGGUCUUGGUGCCCGGUUUGAUAGAGAUAAGACCUUCUGAGUACUGUCAAAAAAUAUAAGACAUGCAGAUACACAGUGGACAACAGAACAGCAUAUCACACGUUUAACAAGACCCAGCCUUCCUCCACGGAUGGGUUAUUAAAGAUCAAAUUCCAUUGUGAACCUGGAUCCACUGACUGUUCCUACAAGCAAGCUUACCAAUGCACUGCAGAUCUGUCCUGUCAUGCACAGAGUCCCAUGAGUGCCACUUUAAUGAUCCAGGUGUAUACACAUCAUCCUCCAAGCAAGUCAAAAGCAUGAAUGCUGUGAAGACAGGAACCAUGCACUUCCACGGGGACACUGAUCAUGGCAGCUGCUACUACAAAUGUCCUCUCCUGCUCCUGGGACCAGCAGCCUAUGAGCAAACAGAGCCAUACCCUUUUUCCACAAGUUCCUGACAAGAAACAUCAGACUUGCAGAUUCAGAGAUAUCAGGCUCCAACAGUACCUCACCAAAGACUUUUCUGGGCAUAAUUCUGGCUAAAUAAUGACCAGCAGUAAUCACUCCCACGUCAGUGGCCCAAGAAGCUACCUAGCCUGAAGCAGCAGGACAGGACAGGAUUUGAACCCAAGGAUGCUUCCUGAUAACCUUUCUGGUAGAUGAGCUGUAGAAGUAGAACUGUUAUUUAUUAUUCCUUUCAUCUGUUUGAAGCUCUAGAGAGUGCAGGUCUGUAACUUUACUCUUGUGUCAGCAGGGGGAUGGAAGUGAGAAGCAAAAACAGAAAAGUGAAAGCAGCUUGGUGCUGUCUCUGGAGCCAGGGCAACCAUGAGUGCUCCUUUGGGCUGCUUCUGGGGAAGGCUUCACUUUGCACAAGGCAACUCCAUAUGGUGAAGCAAUAAAAUCUGCUUCAGCUUGUUCUUUUUGUCUGUG
rnacentral:lncRNA from 1 species